CCUACGGGAGGCAGCAGUGAGGAAUAUUGCUCAAUGGGGGAAACCCUGAAGCAGCAACGCCGCGUGAGGGAUGAAGGCGCUUUGCGUUGUAAACCUCUGUAGUUGGAGACAAAACUCUCUCUACUGAGAGAUUGAUGGUAUCCAAAAAGUAAGGAUCGGCUAACUACAUGCCAGCAGCCGCGGUAAU
rnacentral:rRNA from 1 species